rnacentral:lncRNA from 1 species
CCCUUUUGAAUUGCAAUCGAAAUUAAUAAUCCUUUGCACAGCUAUUCUCUCAAUAAGUUGAGCUAAGUAGAUCGGGUCUAAAUUACUGCUGGUAACUAUACAUGCUAUAGACGCUUUUCUUUUGUGGUUGUCCUAAAAGAGGUCUUCAAUCGUCUGAACCGGCUUUUUCAAAUUUCCGCAACUACUUUUCUAUGAUCAUGUUAUAUAAAGUGAUCAGACGAUCUAAAUAUUUUGCAUGUCGUAAAUCAAUAAAGUCAAUGUAGAAUUAAGUUCUAUACUGAUUUUUUUUAAUUUAAUUUAAUUUAUUUUUUUUUUUUUUUAUUUUUUACCGGACAUCGUUUGCCCUCUCUAUUUUGAUCCACAGUCACUCAUAUCAACAAUAAACCAU